rnacentral:tRNA from 1 species
GAGUAUAUAGCUCAGUGGUAGAGUGCGUGCCCGGCAUACAUGAAGUCCUGGGUUCAAUCCUCGGUACCUUCA